GGGGGUCAGCCACAAAAGGCCGGCUUGCUACUUUGCCGGCGAGCGGCGGACGGGUUGAGUAAUGUCUGGGAAACUGCCUGAUGGAGGGGGAUAACUACUGGAAACGGUAGCUAAUACCGCAUAACGUCGCAAGACCAAAGAGGGGGACCUUCGGGCCUCUUGCCAUCAGAUGUGCCCAGAUGGGAUUAGCUAGUAGGUGGGGUAACGGCUCACCUAGGCGACGAUCCCUAGCUGGUCUGAGAGGAUGACCAGCCACACUGGAACUGAGACACGGUCCAGACUCCUACGGGAGGCAGCAGUGGGGAAUAUUGCACAAUGGGCGCAAGCCUGAUGCAGCCAUGCCGCGUGUAUGAAGAAGGCCUUCGGGUUGUAAAGUACUUUCAGCGGGGAGGAAGGUGUUGAGGUUAAUAACCUCAGCGAUUGACGUUACCCGCAGAAAAG
rnacentral:rRNA from 1 species